rnacentral:rRNA from 1 species
UAGUCCUAGCUGUAAACGGUGCGCACUUGGUGUUGAGGGUAUUGACCCCCUCAGUGCCGGAGCUAACGCGUUAAGUGCGCCGCCUGGGGAGUACGGCCGCAAGGUUAAAACUCAAAGAAAUUGACGGGGGCCCGCACAAGCGGAGGAGCAUGUGGCUUAAUUCGAUGCAACGCGAAGAACCUUACCAGGGCUCGACAUAUACCUGCACGCCCGCCGAAAGGUGGGAAGCUUUCGAAGGUGGUAUACAGGUGCUGCAUGGCUGUCGUCAGUUCGUGCCGUGAGGUGUUGGGUUAAGUCCCGCAACGAACGCAACCCCUGUGUCUAGUUGCCACCGUAGGUGAUGAGCCUGCGAGCACUCUAGACAGACUGCCUGUACAAGCAGGAGGAAGGUGGGGACGACGUCAAGUCAGUAUGGCCCUUACGCCCUGGGCUGCACACGUGCUACAAUGGUCGGUACAGAAGGAUGCAAUACCGCGAGGUUGAGCAAAUCCCCAAAACCGGCCUCAGUUCGG